rnacentral:rRNA from 1 species
UACGUAGGGUGCGAGCGUUGUCCGGAAUUACUGGGCGUAAGGAGCUCGUAGGUGGUUUGUCGCGUUGUUCGUGAAAUCCCACGGCUUAACUGUGGGCGUGCGGGCGAUACGGGCAGACUGGAGUACUGCAGGGGAGACUGGAAUUCCUGGUGUAGCGGUGGAAUGCGCAGAUAUCAGGAGGAACACCGGUGGCGAAGGCGGGUCUCUGGGCAGUAACUGACGCUGAGGAGCGAAAGCGUGGGGAGCGAACAGG